rnacentral:rRNA from 1 species
AUUGAACGCUGGCGGCAGGCUUAACACAUGCAAGUCGAGCGGAGCGAGGGUGCUUGCACCUUAGCUUAGCGGCGGACGGGUGAGUAAUGCUUAGGAAUCUGCCUAUUAGUGGGGGACAACAUUUCGAAAGGAAUGCUAAUACCGCAUACGCCCUACGGGGGAAAGCAGGGGAUCUUCGGACCUUGCGCUAAUAGAUGAGCCUACGUCGGAUUAGCUAGUUGGUGGGGUAAAGGCCUACCAAGGCGACGAUCUGUAGCGGGUCUGAGAGGAUGAUCCGCCACACUGGGACUGAGACACGGCCCAGACUCCUACGGGAGGCAGCAGUGGGGAAUAUUGGACAAUGGGCGGAAGCCUGAUCCAGCCAUGCCGCGUGUGUGAAGAAGGCCUUUUGGUUGUAAAGCACUUUAAGCGAGGAGGAGGCUCUUAAGGUUAAUACCCUUGAUGAGUGGACGUUACUCGCAGAAUAAGCACCGGCUAACUCUGUGCCAGCCGCCGCCGUAAAAC